GACGAACGCUGGCGGCGUGCCUAAUACAUGCAAGUAGAACGCUGCAGAGAGGAGCUUGCUCUUCUUGGAUGAGUUGCGAACGGGUGAGUAACGCGUAGGUAACCUGCCUUGUAGCGGGGGAUAACUAUUGGAAACGAUAGCUAAUACCGCAUAACAAUGGAUGACACAUGUCAUUUAUUUGAAAGGGGCAAUUGCUCCACUACAAGAUGGACCUGCGUUGUAUUAGCUAGUAGGUGAGGUAACGGCUCACCUAGGCGACGAUACAUAGCAGACCUGAGAGGGGGAUAGGCCACGCUGGGACUGGGACACGGCCCAGACUCCUACGGGAGGCAGCAGUAGGGAAUCUUCGGCAAUGGGGGCAACCCUGACCGAGCAACGCCGCGUGAGUGAAGAAGGUUUUCGGAUCGUAAAGCUCUGGUGUAAGUCAAGAUCGUGUGGGAGAGUGGAAAGUGCACACUGUGACGGUAGCUUACCAGAAAGGGACGGCUAACUACGUG
rnacentral:rRNA from 1 species